rnacentral:lncRNA from 1 species
GAGGAGAUUUCUUGGGUGGUGGAGGAGAGCUAUAGUAGUAUGGUGGAGGUGGUGACUUAACUGGUGGUGGUGGAGAAGUGUAGUGAUAUGGUGGAGGAGGUGAUUUCUUGGGUGGUGGAGGAGAGUUGUAGUAGUAUGGUGGAGGAGGUGACUUAACCGGCGGUGGUGGAGAAGUGUAGUGAUAUGGUGGAGGAGGUGAUUUCUUGGGUGGUGGAGGAGAGUUGUAGUAGUAUGGUGGAGGAGGUGACUUAACCGGCGGUGAUGGAUAAGUGUAGUAGUAGUAUGGUGGAGGAGGUGACUUAACCGGCGGUGAUGGAUAAGUGUAGUGAUAUGGUGGAGGAGGUGAUUUCUUGGGUGGUGGAGGAGAGCUAUAGUAGUAUGGUGGAGGAGGUGACUUAACCGGCGGUGGUGGAGAAGUGUAGUGAUACGGUGGAGGAGGUGAUUUCUUUGGUGGUGGAGGAGAGCUAUAGUAGUAUGGUGGGGGAGGUGACUUAGCCGGCGGUGGUGGAGAGUUGUAGUAGUAAGGUAGAGGAGGAGACUUCUUUGGGGGUGGUGGAGAGGUGUAGUGAUACGGUGGAGGGGGUGAUUUCUUUGGUGGUGGUGGCGAGGAGUAAUAGUAUG